UACUGCAGUGAAUAUUAUUGAGCUGAUUGAGAUUAAUAUAUCUGUAAUUUUCAUCUUUGUUUUACACCAACUAAUUUUAUUUCCUACAAACAAUUUAAGUUAAUAAUUGAAUGCAGCUACCAAGCAGUGAGGACGAAAAUUUUAGCGCUGGAACUAUGUUCAUCCCUUUUUAGUGGGUUGGAAAAUAAAUUUUACGGUGAAAUUCAUUCAGCUUUUGUGUAGAAGGUUCAUUUGUACAUUGUUCGACAUAUCGCCAGCGACAAUCAUUGAAUCUUUGUGGGUCAAAUAACAUAUCACGGCUAAUACCAAGACAAAAUAGAUAACAAGAUUCCACUCGAUUUUCGCCAAACAGUCCUACACCAAUGUUUUGAUAUCAGUAUAUAUAUUUAUGAGUAUCAAUGUGUAAAGUAAUAUGAUUAAAUCACAUUACAGAACACCAAGAAUAAAUGUGAGAAUUAUAAAACAA